rnacentral:rRNA from 1 species
GACGGAGGGUGCUAGCGCUGUUCGGAAUUACUGGGCGUAAAGGGCGCGUAGGCGGCCACUUAAGUCGGGUGUGAAAGCCCGGGGCUCAACCCCGGAACUGCAUCCGAGACUGGGUGGCUGGAGAUCGGGAGAGGAGAGUGGAAUACCCAGUGUAGAGGUGAAAUUCGUAGAUAUUGGGUGGAACACCGGUGGCGAAAGCGGCUCUCUGGCCCGAUUCUGACGCUGAGGCGCGAAAGCGUGGGGAGCAAACAGG